CUGACUUUAGGAGGCCGAAGGAAGCGACUGAUAAGGAGCUUGAUGCUGAGAACACGAAUACGCUCUUGUCUCUUUGAAUCGUAUCACCCAUGGCGUCGUAUAUAAAAGAAAGGUUGCCUCUUUCUUUAAUGGCAAUGGAACGAAUUCUUGAAACACCACUUCUGUCAUCGGUGACGACGGCAGAGAAAGUAAGGCUGCUAAGCUGGCCAAUGCAUCGGCUUGUGCAUUCAACCCCCGUCGGACGUGUGUUAGCUUGAUCUCUGGGAACUGCCUUAUUAACUAGCUAGACUUUACAUAGUAAAAGCAAGAAAAGAGAUCAAACAACCAAAGCGAAGUGAAGGCCGACUUCUUGAGGGACUUGUUUAUUUGGGAGGGGACGAUAGCGAUUUGAAAUCAUGUAGCUUUAGGUCUGAUUGCUCGAGAAAGAACCUCCUAUGCCCCGACUAUGGUUUGAAGGAACGAAUCCAACAUUUUCCGAUAAGGCCAAAGAAAAAGCCUAAUCAUGUAAACCGGUGGGAUGAGUGGAACAGACGCGAUUGACCAUUUCACUAUCAUGGAUGGAUUCCCCUUUGCCUCGUCAACCCGAGUCCAGGAAAAGCAGAUAGGGUAGGGUGAACGUCAGCUAAGCAUAGAGAGUCGACUACUACCUUCAUUAGUUUCUAGUACUUGUCAAAGUCAUUCUACUUUUAGUCAAUAUACGGUGCUUAGGUAUUGCUUGGACAAAGCCUAAAGCGGCUGCCCUUAAGAAACAAAAUGUCUAAGUCCCCCGGCAACGAAGCAGCAUUUAUCUGCGUACCCAUUCUAUCUUCCUUCCAUUUGACGAAGCUUAUGGAUUGCGCUAAGACAGCCCCUUCUCAUGAAUCAAAAUCCGGCUACUUCGUUUCGGAUGAUCACGCUAAAAAAGUAAACGAAAGAUAGCUAUAUGCAUUGACAAGCCAUUGGUCGCUUCCUUUCGACUCCAAUAUGGAACGGAAUAAACACAUACGCGCUUGCAGCUGCAUUGGCUUUCCCUUUCGCUAAAGGCUGAAUGAGUUGGGUAUGUGAGCUGGAUCUGAGAUGCAAAGUAUUUUUUUUUCUAAUAGUAGGUAUCUUCAACAUUCGCAUAGACCAUAUCACUUUUCUGCCAUUGCGUCUGAAUCAGCGCUGGACCGGCCAGCCUCCUCUUUACUCUGCCUCUCUAGACAAAGUUUCCACCCUGGGAACGAACUAAAGUCAAAGUUUGGGACUGACUUUCCAAACCCACCGAAGGUAAGACGGUGGUAACUUCCCGAACCGCUUCCAUGUUUUGCAUCAAAUGAAGUAAACUCAUCCCCUUCAUCCCUCGUCUAGGUCCUACCGAUAUCUGGCUUCAACCAUAUACCCACUGGUCAACCCAAAUGAGUAAGCCACUUUGUCUAUAGAUCAUGAGCCAUUUAAUAAGCGGAGCCCGGCGACUUUAGAGUGGGUUAGGUUAAAAUCUAAUAGCACAAACGGGUUAACUCGAGUCAAUGUCCCGUCCGAUCGCACCGGCCUUCGUCUCCCAAGGCUAAGUCCAUAGGAUUGGGUUGAGCAAUCCGCUAAAAACGAUUUCCAGUCGGAUGAACGUUCGGAAAAACCAGAUGAAAGAACCAGCUAAUCUCAUAAUGCCCCGAGAGCGCCAUUGCCAAGCACCGAGCGGAACCAUCCGGGCACACCGUUUAGUUUGGUUGUUUACUUUUUCUGUGAGUAAGAGGGGUCAAAGAGUUAACAGGGAUGUGGUGAAGCAGUGAAAUGAGCCCUCUUCCACUAGUUUAUGGCCACGGCUUUGCCUCUUUUUCUUUUUGUUGCUAUCGAUUGAAACAGAUAAACAGCUUUCGGUCCCCUUAUCUCGCUUUUCUUCGGCGGCGGGUGAACAGCUCUGAAACCAAGUCUUCGUAUCACGCUUUAGCAUGAAUCGAAGUGAAGAAAAAUCCUCGGUCGGUCUGUUAAACCAAUCUAUCUUGCGAGGAACCAAGCUCAAAGCUCAAAAAGAAUAAGGCAGCACACUCUUUGUCGGAACGAGGGCGAACUGGCUUUGAUGACAAGAUGCUUCUGAAUAGUCCUACUAGGGGAGCUCUGAUAGACAGCAAGACUAGAGACAAGAGGGGGUAAGAACCUAUUAGUAUGGAUCCUAGGGAAUCACGAACCAAGGGAGGAAUCUCACAAUUGUCUUGAACAUUGUCUUUGCGGAAACUAUCGCCCUAACUAGAGGGCUAGCGGGGGAAUAUUGAACACAAACAUCUCGCCGGUCGGAGGGGACAUCCUAUAUUAUACAAGAAGGUGAAGAAAGAAUCAAUUCCCACGGAAAGGCUAGUUGCAAAGCUCAAAGCGCUUGAUCCUUCGCCCCUUGGCGGGUACCCAACCCACCUGCUUAUCUAAAAAAGGGCACCUUCUUUCAAGGAAAUAGGGUAGCAGAUCGUCUUGCAGCGGCUGCCCAUUCUCACCGUGGUUGCUCCACGUUUACGGGACCAGUGUCAAACAAAGGAAAGUAAAGGGCAUUCGGUUUAGGAUUCCUCUAAUCUGGGCUCUUUCAUCCAAUUCCGCUCAUU
rnacentral:lncRNA from 1 species